ACGGGUGAGUAACACGUGGGAACCUUCCUAGGGGUACGGAACAACUCAGGGAAACUUGAGCUAAUACCGUAUACGUCCGUGAGGAGAAAGAUUUAUCGCCCUUAGACGGGCCCGCGUCGGAUUAGCUAGUUGGUGGGGUAACGGCCUACCAAGGCGACGAUCCGUAGCUGAUCUUAGAGGAUGAUCAGCCACACUGGGACUGAGACACGGCCCAGACUCCUACGGGAGGCAGCAGUGGGGAAUCUUGGACAAUGGGCGCAAGCCUGAUCCAGCCAUGCCGCGUGAGUGAAGAAGGUCUUCGGAUUGUAAAGCUCUUUUGCCAGGGACGAUAAUGACGGUACCUGGAGAAUAAGCCCCGGCAAACUUCGUGCCAGCAGCCGCGGUAAUACGAAGGGGGCUAGCGUUGUUCGGAAUUACUGGGCGUAAAGCGCACGUAGGCGGGCGAUUAAGUCAGGGGUGAAAUCCCGGAGCUCAACUCCGGAACUGCCUUUGAUACUGGUCGUCUAGAGAUCGGAAGAGGUGAGUGGAAUUCCCAGUGUAGAGGUGAAAUUCGUAGA
rnacentral:rRNA from 1 species